rnacentral:rRNA from 1 species
UAAUACGUAGGGGGCGAGCGUUAUCCGGAUUUACUGGGCGUAAAGAGAGCGUAGGCGGUUCUUCAAGUCGGAUGUAAAAUCUCCCGGCUCAACUGGGAGGGAUCAUUCGAUACUGUUGGGCUAGAGGACAGCAGAGGGAGGUGGAAUUCCCGGUGUAGAGGUGGAAUGCGUAGAUAUCGGGAGGAACACCAGUGGCGAAAGCGGCCUCCUGGGCUGUUUCUGACGCUGAGGCUCGAAGGCAUGGGGAGCAAACAGGAUUAGAUACCCUGGUAGUCCAUGCAGUAAACGAUGGACACUAGGUAUAGGAGGUAUCGACCCCUUCUGUGCCGAAGCUAACGCUUUAAGUGUCCCGCCUGGGAAGUACGGUCGCAAGACUA